CAAUAGCUUGUGUUCGUCGGUGCCCGCCGGACCUAACGGUCCAGCCGGCUUAAUAGGGAAUCCGGUGCGAGACCGGAGCUGCCCCGCAGCGGUAAGUGGAAACGAAAUCCGCGUUCAGCACUGGUCCGUCGGGACUGGGAAGCGGCGGAAACUAGGCGAGCCGGAAGGCCCACGUCCACAAGCCCGAAGACCUGCCGACACGUUGGAUGGCUG
rnacentral:ncRNA from 2 species